GUCGCCAUCAUCUAACGGUUUAGGAUACCUGGUUCUCAUCCAGGAAAUUGGGAGUUCAAAUCUCCCUGGCGACA
rnacentral:tRNA from 4 species